rnacentral:sRNA from 1 species
UAAAAGGACAUCCUGUCAGUACUUUAUCUCGUUCUUCUUGUGAUUUACAAAUUCUGGAUGCAGCUAUUGUUGAGAAAAUUGAGGAAGAAGUCGAAAAGUGCAAGCAAAGAAAGAAUAAUAAGAAGGUGCGAGUAACAGUGAAACCCCAUUUGCUAUACAGACCUUUAGAACAGCAACAUGGAGUCAUUCCUGAUCGGGAUGCAGAAUUUUGUCUUUUUGACCGUGUUGUAAAUGUGAGAGAAAACUUCUCAGUUCCAGUUGGCCUUCGAGGCACCAUCAUAGGAAUAAAAGGAGCUAAUAGAGAAGCCGAUGUACUAUUUGAAGUAUUAUUUGAUGAAGAAUUUCCUGGAGGGUUAACAAUAAGAUGCUCACCUGGUAGAGGUUAUCGACUGCCAACAAGUGCCUUGGUGAACCUUUCUCAUGGGAGUCGCUCUGAAACUGGAAAUCAGAAGUUGACAGCCAUCGUAAAACCACAACCAGCUGUACAUCAACAUAGCUCAAGUACCUACUAAAGAUGAUGAUGAAUUCUGCAACAUUUGGCAGUCCUUACAGGGAUCUGGAAAGAUGCAACACUUUCAGCCAACUAUACAAGAGAAGGUUAGUAUUCCUUGUUUUGAUGGACAAUUAAUUUAAAGAAAAUAUAUUUUUAUAUUUUUCUUUUAAGACUACAAUGA